rnacentral:rRNA from 1 species
GCCAAAUAGUAAACUUUAACUUACACCUAAAUCGCCAGGGAAUUACGAGCUAAGCUUAAAACCCAAAGGACUUGACGGUGCCCCAUAUCCCCCUAGAGGAGCCUGUCCUAUAAUCGAUAACCCCCGUUCAACCUCACCACUUUUAGCCUAUCAGCUUGUAUACUUCCGUCGUCAGCUUACCGCAUGAGCGCCCCUAAAGUAAGCUCAAUGUUUAACCACCAAUACGUCAGGUCAAAGUGCAGCAAAUAAAGUGGGAAGAGAUGGGCUACACUCUCUAUAAUAGAAAAAACGAAAGACUAUGUGAAAUCUUAAUCCAAAGGCGGAUUUAGUAGUAAAAAGAAGGUAGAGUACCCUUUUUAACCCGGCACUGGGGUGUGUA